rnacentral:rRNA from 1 species
AUUGAACGCUGGCGGCAUGCUUUACACAUGCAAGUCGAACGGAGCGCGGGCUUCGGCCUGGCGGCGAGUGGCGAACGGGUGAGUAAUGCAUCGGAACGUGCCCAGUAGUGGGGGAUAGCCCGGCGAAAGCCGGAUUAAUACCGCAUACGACCUGAGGGUGAAAGCGGGGGACCGAAAGGCCUCGCGCCAUUGGAGCGGCCGAUGUCGGAUUAGCUAGUUGGUGGGGUAAAGGCUUACCAAGGCGACGAUCCGUAGCUGGUCUGAGAGGACGACCAGCCACACUGGGACUGAGACACGGCCCAGACUCCUACGGGAGGCAGCAGUGGGGAAUUUUGGACAAUGGGGGCAACCCUGAUCCAGCCAUGCCGCGUGCGGGAAGAAGGCCUUCGGGUUGUAAACCGCUUUUGUUCGGGAAGAAAUCCUCUGGGCUAAUACCCCGGGGGGAUGACGGUACCGGAAGAAUAAGCACCGGCUAACUACGUG